rnacentral:RNase_P_RNA from 1 species
GCGGAAGGCCGGACGGCCGCUUGCAGCGAUGCGAGAGGAAAGUCCGGACUCACCGAAGCACCGGUGCCGGGUAACUCCCGGGCAGGGCAACCUGACGGACAGCGCCACAGAGAACAGACCGCCACGCCUUCGGGCGCGGCAAGGGUGAAACGGUGGGGUAAGAGCCCACCGGGGGACUGGCAACAGGACCCGCAUGGCAAGCCCCACCGGGAGCAAUGCCGAAUAGGGAUCACGCGCGCCUCCGGGCGCAGGGCCGCUUCCGCCCGAGCGAUCCGGGUUGGCAGCUAGAGCCACGCGGCAACGCGCGGCCCAGAGGAAUGGCCGUCUGAGGCCGGGGCGACCCGGCCAAGACCAGAAUCCGGCUUACAGGCCUUCCGCGCAA